AGUGAACGUUGGCGGCGUGGAUUAGGCAUGCAAGUCGAGCGAGAACCGUAGCAAUACGGGGACAGCGGCGAAAGGGACAGUAAUGUGUAGGUACCUACCUCCGGGUUCGGGAUAGCUGCGGGAAACUGCAGGUAAUACCGAAUAACGUCUCCGGACCAAAGGUGUGAUUCCACCUGGAGAGGGGCCUGCAUCCUAUUAGCUUGUUGGCGGGGUAACGGCCCACCAGGGCGGCGAUGGGUAGCGGGUGUGAGAGCACGACCCGCGUCAUUGGGACUAAGACACUGCCCGGACACCGACGGGUGGCUGCAGUCGUGAAUCUUCGGCGAUGGGCGCAAGCCUGACCGGGCGACGCCGCGUGCGGGAUGAAGGCCUUCGGGUUGUAAACCGCUGUCGUAGAGGAGGAAAUGCAGGGGGGUUCUCCCCUCUGUUUGACCUAUUCUAGGAGGAAGUACGGGCUAAGUUCGUGCCAGCAGCCGCAGUAA
rnacentral:rRNA from 1 species